CCUCUCUGCACGGAGAGCUCUUCUCUUUCUUUCGCCUAUUAAACUUACAUGGCCGUGGGACAAUGAACCUCAGGUAUUACCCCAGAGAAACAACAUCGCUUCAUUGAGGGGAAUGCAAAAAUGUAGUAAAGGAAAUUGAGAAUGAGAAGCCAAUAAAGUAGGUAAGAAACAAGGUAGAGUGACAUCAUGGAAGCCAAACAAAGCAAGUGUUUCCAGGAUGAAGGCGUGAUCAACUGGGUCAAAUGUAUGGUGACAGAUCAAAUAAGAUGAGGACUAAUCAUUAAUCAUGGAUUUUAGCAACACUGAGUCCCUGUGGACCUUUACAGGAGAAGUUCUGGUGGAGGGCUGAGAGCAAAAGCCUGGUUGAAGUGAGUUUGAAAAGAUGUGAAAUGUCCUUCCAAGUGUUCCUGAAACAAGGAGAUAUUUGAAGUCUCUCCAGCCUGAUAUCCCCAGUGGAAAUAAGUCAAUGUUGGAACAAGAAGUAUGAGCAACCAGAAUUUAAAAAAAUCUUGCUAAGGUUCUGAACAUAGAAGAGGUCUGUUUUCCUAUCAUUCGACACUGAAAUGACGUUUCCAGGAUAAAAUUCUCCAAUUCAUGUCGAGUGUGCUUAUCCAUGUUUUCCCCAGAGUCAAACUCUUGAUGACGGUAUUUAGCAGUUGGUAAAUGCCUAGUGUGCUGAGUCUGUGCAGAUCUGAUACUCUUCACAGUCCCUGACCAAAGCCCCGGAUCCUGAAUCUUACAAAAUGCAAUGGAAUCUUGAAAAAUAGAAAAGACAUGGGGCAAGUAUUCAAAACUUACCCUAAGUGCUUCUGACCCUGAAUAGCUAAGGCUCAAAAUUGGCUUACAGAACAUGCAAUGAUGAUUUUGAUGGUUUUUCGUUCUAGUUUCUAACUAAUUCAGUGUUUGGCUGCCAGUAAGGGCCUUUGGCAAACACCUAUAGGAGAAGUGUCUAAAAUGUAAAGUGAAUCACUGGAAAUGGGAACUCUGUCAAAAUAAGGGAAUUAAGUUCAUUAAAGGUGUGGUAGCUUAAUUUACUGUGCCAGUUCAUACUGAUCAGGGUUGGCACUGAACACUCAGCUAGUGCAAACCCACCCAAACUUGGCAGAAUAAAUGACCCCAACCAAUCCAGCCUCUUGGCUUUCUCUCCAGGUUAAAUGUGCUUAAAUUAGUAAAAAUUGGGUUUGGACUAUGGGCCUUUCUUGUCUUCUAGAUUGGGGCUGUGUUGUAUCAACUCCAUGAGACAAACAGCAAAGACAACUUUGCUCAUGGGGUAGAAUGGUUGACAUCUCCAGGUGAGAAAAAUGGCCUCAAAAGUCCCAGAGUCUUUGGGAACUGCAUCAAACAACCAAGGAAUUUAUGUCCAAACUCUGUAAACACACAUUUCCAAGAUGGCAUUUAGGUAGAUGGCCUCUUGGUAGAAAACUAAGUAGGUCCCUGGAGAGCAAGACGUGAGAGCCAGGUGAGGCUGCUCCUGGGAUCACUAUAACCACAUUGGACAUGAUACAAAGUCAGGAGGUAGUGUGUGGGAUGUGAUAGGGGUCCACUUGCUGACACACAAACCUUAAAACCUAGAUGAGGUUCACGUGGGCAUGGGGUACCAUGUCAAAACACAGUGUGCCAACUACUUCUAUGAGGAGCACGGAUUUGCCUCACCAUAGAAGAGGAGAGCUGUAGGUGUUUCAACUGACACUUUCACAGAUCACUUCAAUAUAUGGAAAUCCUAUUUUGCAUGUGAUUUACACAGUUGAAUUUAUUCAAAAGAGAUUUAUGUUGUAAUUUGCUAAGUACUCUGAAUAGAAAAUUAAAGUGACUGUCCCUGCCCUCAUAGAGCUGAUGUUCUGGUAGAGGAGACAGGCUUUUACAUGAAUAGCUAUAAUGGUAUUUGAAUAAUAGCAAACAACAGGCAAGGGCAGGGUGCUAAACAAAGAAAGGAAUUAAAGAAAUUAAGUAAUGCUUUGUCAAAUGGUGAUGUUGGACCUGCACCAUGAGGGAUAUGAAGAUAGUGUCAUUCCCUGGCCCUCUGCCCUUCAUUAUGUUUUCUAAAAAGGGACCAGAAGAUUUACUUAAAAAGCAGCCAUAACUAUAAAUGCAUAUUCUUCUCUCCUUUUCCUCAGCUCCACAUUUUACUAGCACUGUUGGAUUUCCCUAGGACCCUAGUGAAACAACCAGAAAUUUGGAUAAGAACAUUUAAGAAAAAUAACGUAUCUCUGUUUCAUUACACGUGGAUUAUUUUUUUGAUGUUUCUUUCUGUCAGUCAGAAAUGGACAGGUGAAAAUGUUAUGUAAACCCUCAAUAUCAGUCAUCUUUAUAGUUACACUAGUAUUCCAGCCAUUCUUUUCAUUAAAACAAAUAAAAAAAAAACUUGGGAAGAGACUACCACGUUUAGUUAGAAAACAGUACAGUCAGCUUCUUUUUUUCUUUUUUAAUGUGUUUUUAUGGUUUGCUUGUGUGCUUUUCAUCAAAAAAUUCUUACUGUCAAAUUAAUUGAGAAACUUACAGUAAUUGAUGGCCAUUCUGGGAUGUCUCAACAAUACUGCUGCCCUAAAUAAUAUUUCCUAAUGAUUAUUAAGCCUGAAUAAAUGAGUUUUUAAAGGUUGUCAGUAUAGCCUAUUUCAUAAAUAUUUAUUGAGCACUGUAUUAGCCUGUUUUGCAGAUAAGGGAAUACUGGAGGCUGGGUAAUUUAUAAAUUAAGAAAGGCUUAUUUGGCUCACAGUUAUGCAGGUUGUGCAAGAAGCAUGGUGCUGGCAUGUACUUGGCUUCUGGUGAGGCCUCAGGAAGUUUACAAUCAUGGUAGAAGGUGAAGGGGGAGCAGGCAUGUCACAUGGUGAGAGAGGGAGCAAGAGAGAGAAGGAGGUGCCAGGCUCCUUUAAACAACCAGCUCUCAAAUGAACUACUAGAGCAAGAACUCACUCGUUACCAUGGGUAUGGCACCAAGUCAUUUAUAAAACAUCCAUCGCCAUGACUGAAACACCUCCCACCAGGCUCACCUCCAACAUCGAAGGUUACACUUCAACAUGAGAUUUGCAUCCAAACUAUAUCAAGCAUCUAUAAUGUGCCAUGUGCUAGGCAAUGGGCAUAGCAGAAACAAUUAUGAGCAAG
rnacentral:lncRNA from 10 species